GUGCUCACAGGGGCGGCACAUAUACUAAAACUGGAAUGCUAAAAAGAAGAGAUUAGCAUGGCCCCUGCACAAGGAUGACAUACAAAUUCGUGAAAUGUUCCAUAUUUUU
rnacentral:snRNA from 1 species